UAUAAUUGACAGAGGUAGCUUAUUAUUUCUAAUAAGUUUGAGAAAUACUCUUAGAACCUGAUCUAGUUAAAACUAGCGGAGGGAGUUCAAAUUCAUUAUUUA
rnacentral:ncRNA from 1 species